GACGAACGCUGGCGGCGUGCUUAACACAUGCAAGUCGAACGGAAAGGCCCUGCUUUUGUGGGGUGCUCGAGUGGCGAACGGGUGAGUAACACGUGAGUAACCUGCCCUUGACUUUGGGAUAACUUCAGGAAACUGGGGCUAAUACCGGAUAGGAGCUCCUGCUGCAUGGUGGGGGUUGGAGAGUUUCGGCGGUUGGGGAUGGACUCGCGGCUUAUCAGCUUGUUGGUGGGGUAGUGGCUUACCAAGGCUUUGACGGGUAGCCGGCCUGAGAGGGUGACCGGCCACAUUGGGACUGAGAUACGGCCCAGACUCCUACGGGAGGCAGCAGUGGAGAAUAUUGCACAAUGGGCGGAAGCCUGAUGCAGCAACGCCGCGUGCGGGAUGACGGCCUUCGGGUUGUAAACCGCUUUCGCCUGUGACGAAGCGUGAGUGACGGUAAUGGGUAAAGAAGCACCGGCUAACUACGUG
rnacentral:rRNA from 1 species